UACAGGGGGUGCAAGCGUUGUUCGGAAUCACUGGGCGUAAAGCGUACGUAGGCGGCGUCGUAAGUGUCGGAUGAAAUCCCACGGCUUACCCGUGGAACGGUCCGGCAUACUGCGGUGCUAGAGGAUGGUAGAGGAGAGCGGAACUCUUGGUGGAGCGGUGAAAUGCGUAGAUAUCAAGAGGAACACCGGUGGCGAAGGCGGCUCUCUGGUCCAUGUCUGACGCUGAGGUACGAAAGCCAGGGGAGCAAACGGG
rnacentral:rRNA from 1 species